ACUCCUACGGGAGGCAGCAGUGGGGAAUAUUGCACAAUGGGCGCAAGCCUGAUGCAGCCAUGCCGCGUGUAUGAAGAAGGCCUUCGGGUUGAUGAAAGUACUUUCAGUCAGAUGAGGAAGGUGGAGUCGUUAAUAGCGGCCUCAUUUGACGUUAGCUGCAGAAGAAGCACCGGCUAACUCCGUGCCAGCAGCCGCGGUAAUACGGAGGGUGCGAGCGUUAAUCGGAAUUACUGGGCGGUAAAGCGCAUGCAGGUGGUUUGUUAAGUCAGAUGUG
rnacentral:rRNA from 1 species